AUUGUUCGCAAUGGGCGCAAGCCUGACGACGCAACGCCGCGUGGAGGAUGAAGGUCUUCGGAUUGUAAACUCCUGUUGCUAGGGACGAAAAGCUUCGACCUAACACGUCGAGGUCUGACGGUACCUGGUUAGGAAGCCCCGGCUAACUCUGUGCCAGCAGCCGCGGUAAUACAGUGGGGGCAAGCGUUGUUCGGAAUUACUGGGCGUAAAGGGCGCGUAGGCGGCCUGUUAAGUCGAACGUGAAGUCCCUGGGCUCAACCCAGGAACUGCGUCCGAUACUGGCAGGCUUGAAUCCGGGAGAGGGAUGUGGAAUUCCAGGUGUAGCGGUGAAAUGCGUAGAUAUCUGGAGGAACACCGGUGGCGAAGGCGGCAUCCUGGACCGGUAUUGACGCUGAGGCGCGAAAGCCAGGGGAGCAAAC
rnacentral:rRNA from 1 species